rnacentral:rRNA from 1 species
AACGAACGCUGGCGGCAGGCUUAACACAUGCAAGUCGAGCGCCCCGCAAGGGGAGCGGCAGACGGGUGAGUAACGCGUGGGAAUCUACCGUGCCCUGCGGAAUAGCUCCGGGAAACUGGAAUUAAUACCGCAUACGCCCUACGCGGGAAAGAUUUAUCGGGGUAUGAUGAGCCCGCGUUGGAUUAGCUAGUUGGUGGGGUAAAGGCCUACAAAGGCGUCGAUCCAUAGCUGGUAUGAGAGGAUGAUCAGCCACAUUGGGACUGAGACACGGCCCAAACUCCUACGGGAGGCAGCAGUGGGGAAUAUUGGACAAUGGGCGCAAGCCUGAUCCAGCCAUGCCGCGUGAGUGAUGAAGGCCCUAGGGUUGUAAAGCUCUUUCAACGGUGAAGAUAAUGACGGUAACCGUAGAAGAAGCCCCGGCUAACUUCGUGCCAGCCGCCGCGGUAACAC